GAUGAACGCUGGCGGCGUGCCUAAUACAUGCAAGUCGAGCGAACGGACGAGAAGCUUGCUUCUCUGAUGUUAGCGGCGGACGGGUGAGUAACACGUGGAUAACCUACCUAUAAGACUGGGAUAACUUCGGGAAACCGGAGCUAAUACCGGAUAAUAUUUUGAACCGCAUGGUUCAAAAGUGAAAGACGGUCUUGCUGUCACUUAUAGAUGGAUCCGCGCUGCAUUAGCUAGUUGGUAAGGUAACGGCUUACCAAGGCAACGAUGCAUAGCCGACCUGAGAGGGUGAUCGGCCAAACUGGAACUGAGACACGGUCCAGACUCCUACGGGAGGCAGCAGUAGGGAAUCUUCCGCAAAGGGCGAAAGCCUGACGGAGCAACGCCGCGUGAGUGAUGAAGGUCUUCGGAUCGUAAAACUCUGUUAUUAGGGAAGAACAUAUGUGUAAGUAACUGUGCACAUCUUGACGGUACCUAAUCAGAAAGCCACGGCUAACUACGUG
rnacentral:rRNA from 1 species